CAGUAACGUCCAAUCAUAUUCAUGCACAGUGGACAGCGCGGCCAUUACGACCAGAGAUUUCUCAGCGCUUGCUGCUCAUGAGGUGAUCCUCCUCUCGCCGUCAUGCCUGGGUCCAAAGUUUGAAGCAGAGCUGGGUCCAGAUGUUUGGUUUUAUGUCGUAGUACCAGAUGGAUGGGACUGCCUGCUUCAAAAGAGCUGUUUGACAUUCAGCUUGGUGUGCCCUGGACCUCGUGGCCCUGCAGCUGACUGGAUUGCACCUGGACCGCAACCUCGGAACAAAGGACGGCCAACCCGGUCACCAUCUGUAAAGGUAUUGUGCAGUUUUUGCAGAUGUCCUUCCAGAGACGACACAUCCAGCUCCGUGUCUCCGUAGAGGUAGUAUUCAAGCAGGGCCUGGUAGAUGAAUGAGUACUGCAUCUGUGCCAUUCUCGCCUCUCCUUGUUCAGUGAUUGAGCUCUGGCUCACAUGGCUCACAAUAAAGACUGUGCAAUUAUAGCAGAGAAAAGAGAUGUCAGAGGGGAGAUUACAGGUUGGUCAGCAUGACAACAGUAGCUACUUUCUGCUCCCAUAUCAUCCUCCAGAAAUCGGCGGUGGUGUCUUCUUUUGGACCUGAGAAGCAGAUUAUUAUAAUAAUAUUCGAUUUACUAAAAUAUGAAGUCAAUAACCAAGGUUUCAACAUGACUGUGCAUGUUAUGUCCAACUGUCUUACCUUGUGCUGCUAUGAAUUUGUUCUUUUCUGUGAAACCCUGUUAGAAAACAUUAAAUGAAUAUAGAAUAUUAAUAAAAAAGCU